rnacentral:rRNA from 1 species
CCCUUAGAUGUCCGGGGCCGCACGCGCGCUACACUGAAGGAAUCAGCGUGGCUUUCUCCCUGACCCGAAAGGGUUGGGAAACCCGUUGAAUCUCCUUCGUGAUAGGGAUUGGGGCUUGAAAUUGUUCCCCAUGAACGAGGAAUUCCCAGUAAGCGCGAGUCAUAAGCUCGCGUUGAUUACGUCCCUGCCCUUUGUACACACCGGCCGUCGCUACUACCGAUUGAACGGUUUAGUGAGGGCCUCGGAUUGGUCUCGGCCCGCUCUUUACCGGGCGGCGCCGUUGGUCGAGAAGACGCUCGAACUUGAUCGUUUAGAGGAAGUAAAAGUCGUAACA